CCACAACGUUUUACGACACACAAACAACAAGAAAAUAAUCAUUCGUCGCCUGAGCAGGAACUCAUUUUUGCCAGCGACGGAAGUGACGAUUUUUCCCCUUUCCGCUCCCCGUAACCUCGUCUCCUCCGAGGUGUUUAGCGAGCGAGGAACAUGGCUGCUGUGGAUUCGGAGCUACGGGACGCAGAAGUGGAAGAUGCUGAUACAUCAGAUAAGAGUGGAGUAGAGGAAAAUGGAGAAGUCUCAGAAGAAGAACAGCCCCAAAACAAGCACAGCAAACACAAGAAAAAGAAACACAAGCAUCGGAGCAAGCACAAGAAACAUAAACAUUCUUCUGAGGAGGAGAAAGAUAAAAAACACAAACAUAAGCAUAAACACAAAAAACACAAAAGAAAAGAUUCUGGAAAUAUUGAGAAAGGGGAUGUUUCCCCUUCAAAGAGGGCAAAACUGGAUGACUUUGCUUUGCUGGAAGACUUAGAAAAACAGCGUGCUAUGAUAAAAGCUGAACUUGACAAUGAAUUAAUGGAGGGAAAAGUUCAGUCUGGCAUGGGUUUAAUAUUGCAGGGUUAUAACUCUGGAUCUGAAGAGGAAGGUGAGAUUAACGAAAAAGCCCGUAAUGGUAAAAAAACUUCUUCCAAGUCAAAUGCCAAGGGAAAACAUGAUCUUGAUUCCAAACCUGCCUCCAGUAAAGCCAAAGAGAAGGCAAAACAUAAAUCAGAAAAGAAAAAAACCAAAACCAAUUCUGAAGUUGUUAAAGAAAAAAUACCAAGCAGCAAAUCAAAGGAGAGAAGAAAAUCUAAAAGUCCAGCAAAAAGAAGUAAAUCAGAAGAUCAGCCAAGAAGGUCACCUGCCCUUCACCGGCAGUCACCAGAAAAAAAUAUAAAAACAAAAUCACCUCAAGAAGAAAGGGUGAAGUCAAGAGAUAGAAAGAAAUCACCAGUGGCUAGUGAGAGUAAAAGCAGAGAGAGAACGAAAAAAUCAAAAUCCCCUGUUUCUAGAAGGAGCAAAUCAAAAGAGAGACGUUCAAAAUCAAAAGAGAGGAAACCCAGGAAGUCUGAGUCAGACAGAGAUAAAAAGCCUCUUAAAUCUCCAUCAAAAGAUGCUUCUUCUGGAAAAGAAAACCGAUCACCUGGGCGUAGAACAGCACGGAGUCCUAAGGCCAGAAGCCUGUCUCCUAAACUGCGUGAUAGGGCUGUAAGACACAGCAGAUCUCCACCUGUUCAUGAUCGCAAAAGUAAACAGUCUCCACCAAGAAUACAGUCCCCCACAAGGAGAGCUAAGAGCAAAUCUGUUGAAAGAAAAAGACGAGAACCAGAAAGAAGGAGGCUAUCUUCUCCCAGAUCAAGAAUUAGGGAGGAUAUCGCAGCAAGACAUGAUCGAAUAAAAGAAGCCAGUCCUCCUAGAUGGUCUCCUUCUCGUAGACGACCAAGCAGGUCUCCAGUGCGAAGGCGAUCACGCUCCCCUCUGAGGAGGAGCAGAUCCCCUAGGAGAAGAAGCAGAUCGCCCCAUAGACGAGAAAGAGGUAGAAGAAGUAGAUCUCGUUUAAGGCGGAGGUCACAUUCCCGAAGUGGACGUUUUCGUAGAAGAAGAAGCAGAAGCAAAGAUAAAGAGGACAAGUUUAAAGGAAGCCUUUCUGAGGGGAUGAAAAUUGAGCAAGAAUCUUCUGAUGAUAACCUGGAAGAUUUUGACGUGGAAGAAGAAGAUGAGGAAGCUGUAAUAGAACAGAGGCGACUACAGAGACUAGCAAUUGUACAAAAAUAUAGUUACUUAUAUGAAGACAGCAAUAUGUCUAUGCCGUCGGAGCCUAGCAGUCCUCAGAGCAGUACACGAAGUCGUUCACCUUCUCCAGACGAUAUCCUUGAACGGGUUGCUGCCGAUGUUAAAGAAUAUGAGAGAGAGAACAUUGACACGUUUGAAGCUUCUGUGAAAGCCAAAUAUAAUCUCAUGACUGAACAGAAUAAUGGUGCGAUUCAGAAGAAGGUAUUAGCACCAGACAUGUUCACAGAAUCUGAUGACAUGUUUGCUGCAUAUUUUGACAGUGCUCGUUUUAGGGCUGCUGGAAUUGGAAAAGAUUUCAAGGAAAAUCCUAAUCUGAGGGAUAACUGGACAGAUUCAGAAGGCUAUUACCGUGUAAACAUUGGUGAAAUACUGGAAAAACGUUAUAAUGUAUAUGGAUACACUGGUCAGGGUGUAUUCAGUAAUGUUGUACGUGCUCGGGAUAUGGCAAGAGCAAAUCAAGAGGUUGCUGUCAAAAUUAUCAGAAACAACGAACUUAUGCAAAAAACUGGUUUGAAAGAACUUGAGUUCCUUAAGAAGUUGAAUGAUGCUGACCCAGAUGACAAGUUCCAUUGUUUACGAUUAUUCAGGCACUUUUAUCACAAGCAACAUUUGUGUCUAGUGUUUGAGCCACUCAGCAUGAAUUUGAGGGAGGUUCUGAAAAAAUAUGGAAAAGAUGUUGGACUGCAUAUUAAAGCUGUGAGAUCCUACAGCCAGCAGCUCUUUCUGGCAUUAAAACUUUUAAAAAGAUGCAAUAUCCUUCAUGCUGAUAUUAAGCCUGAUAAUAUUUUGGUAAACGAAUCCAAAACUAUACUGAAACUUUGUGAUUUUGGAUCAGCAUCUCAUGUUGCAGAUAAUGAUAUUACGCCCUACCUUGUCAGCCGAUUUUACAGAGCACCUGAAAUUAUAAUUGGAAAAAUGUACGACUAUGGAAUAGAUAUGUGGUCAGUGGGUUGCACCUUAUAUGAACUCUAUAAUGGAAAGAUUUUAUUCCCUGGCAAAACUAACAAUCACAUGCUAAAAUUAGCUAUGGAUUUGAAAGGAAAAAUGCCAAACAAGAUGAUUCGGAAAGGUGUUUGUAAGGACCAGCACUUUGAUGCAAAUCUCAACUUUAUGUACAUUGAAGUCGAUAAAGUAACAGAAAGGGAGAAAGUUACCGUCAUGAGCACUAUUAACCCAACAAAGGACCUAUCGGCAGACUUAGUAGGCUGUCAACGACUUCCAGAAGAUCAACGUAAAAAAGUACAUCAACUUAAGGACUUGCUGGAUCAGAUUCUAAUGCUAGAUCCAGCUAAAAGGAUAAGCAUCAAUCAAGCUCUUCAACACCCAUUCAUCCAGGAAAAAAUCUAACUGUUCCAAAUGGUUUCACUAUCUCCCGCCAGAUCUGAAGACCUUUUCCAGCAACUUAUUAAUGUAUAUAAAUCUAUAAAUCUUUCUCCUGCAAAGCUGAAAAAGCAUGACUUGUUUAAAUAACAAGGAAGGUUUUGGUUUCCUUUUUUCAGAGCUGUUUGAGUAAAUGAUAUAUCUACACAAUGUUUCCACUAUCAAACUGACUGUAAAUUGAUAGGAAAAGUUAUGUCUGCAGUGCUAAUGCAGUCUGCUGUCAGUUACACAGUGUUGGAAUUUAAUGCUUGGAUGUUGAUAUUUUAUUUUUAGCAGUCAUGGCUCAUAUCUUUUAUUUUUUACUUUUAUUAAAUUCGUCUUUUUGGUCUUGAGAAAACUUGACCAGCAUAAAUGCUGUUUAUAUUCACAUUUCCCUAGGUUGUGUGCACAGGCCUCUGCACCAUGCCCUUGUACUAGUCAGUGCCGAAGGGGGGCCUAUUCCUUCAUGAGCCUACCUCCAGGGAUGGUUUCCUCUUUUAAAGCAGGUUGUGUACAACUUUCAGUACACUGAAGGUAAGCUAAACCAUCAGCAUCACUGGUAUUUUUAAACGUCUGUGUUUGUAUAUUAUAUAAAUAACUAUUGCUUUUGUCAGCGGACAAAUGAGAAUUUGAUUUCUAGUGGCAGAGUUAACCCCCUGCAUGUUUCACAAGUGACCUGUUGUUGGGAUUUCUUUAUGUUGCGUUUGAUUUGGACUGUAUAACAGCAGCAGUUGCAACACUUUCUCUUCAAUACUGUUACCAUUGUUUGCGCACUUGAUGGAUAAAGCGCCUUCAGUGUACUGUCUAAGUAAAUUUUGUACUUUUUUUUUUUUUUUUUUUUUUUAAAUCUGUUUUCUUCAUAUUGAGCAUUUAAUUCAUGUGUUAUAAUGACCCAGAAAUGUUACAUUCAAAAUCAAAUAUGGGGACAAUGUUGGUCAUGUUUAAAAUAACAUUUUAACAAACCAAAAUGUAUGUCUUGAAAUGUGCAUUUGUGUUAUUUCAGUCUGUGCCAAAGGGGUUCCCGUUUUUUCUGUUCAUGGUGAUUCUCUCUGGCACUGACUGAAGUUUCUGGUUAAAAUGUUAACUUUUCUCUGUUUUCAUUACUUGUGAUCAUGUUGUCUUUCAAUACAGGCAUAAACUCUUCACUCUUGAACAAAAGCAGCUGCUUUUUAAAAGCGGAAAUAAAGGAAAGCAAGACACAGGCCUCCCAGCGUCUGAUUUGCUGAGACACCAGCAUCACCUUCCUCACAAGGUCAUUUCUGACAGCAUGUGUAGAUAAGCAUUUAGCAAAAAUAUUCAGACAAAAUGGAUUUACCCACAGUUUUAUUUAUAAAAGGAAAUCCUGUUUAUUAGUUUUAAAAUGCAAAGCACUUGUUCCUGGUCAAAAAAAUCUAUACAAAAGUAUGGAUAGAAAUGAUGUAGGUCUUUUUUUGUAUCAUUUCUGUUUUUCUCUGCAAAUAAAAAGGGAAUAAUCCAUUUUGUGAAAGGUGGAUUUUUUUUGUUGAGUGCCCAGUUUAUGUAUAUAUUUCUAACAUUCCGAAGGGCAAGAUUUGUUAUGCCGAAUCACAGUUGAUAGUAUUGAGUUUCGCAGGAUUUCUAAGAUUAGAAAUUGUGGAUCCUCGGAUGGAACCACCUCGCAGCAUCUGCUCAGACAAGAAAAAGAUAGAAAUCUUUGCAAAAUAUUAGACUCUCUGCAAAAAGCUUUGUUUUUAUAUUGAAGGAUAAAGUUGCUGGUUUACCCGUUUCUUUGUGUUUUAGAUGCAGUUUGGCUGAAGACGAUUGCAAGAAGACCAACACCAAGGUUCCUUUUGGUAAGAUACUCUACCCCCCUGGAAUUUUUGGUGACUGUGAAGAGAAGAAAGAGUUCACUUUGUCUUUCCGUUGUUCAUGAAACAUAGAAAAUAUGUUUAGAAAAUAGACUAUAUUUAGAAAUAUAGUUUCCAUAUAUGAAUGCAAGGCCUCUGGCUCAUGCCCCUCAUAACAGAGAGAAACGGCAAGAUGUUGGGGUCUUUAUGUAUUAAGUAUAAGUGAACUGCUUUUGGUUGUAUACCUUUGUGAGAAACCUUUGUGCACAUACAAACCACAACCUCAAGAUCACUACAGAUUUUAUAAGAUAUCAAGGCAUAAAUCCUGAUGUAAAAUGGAAUUUGGAUCCAACAGUUUAACAGAAACGGGGCAUUGCCUGAUUUGGUCUGUUGACACAAGAGCUUACUCUAAAACAACACGUUACUUAGAAGCAAAGAAAAUGUAUAAAGGUAGCUGUAAUCUGAUUUAGUUAAGCCACUUAGGCCCCUUAUUUGUAGAGAUCAAAUGUAUCUUUUCAUCAUUGUGGCAAUACAAUGAAGUUAUAUAAAGUUAUCAAAGUGAUUGGUAAAUUUGAUUUACGAAGCAGAAAAAAAGAUGGGUGUUCAGUACGAUCACCAUUAUGGGUCAGAUUUUUAUUUUAGAAGAAUUUUACUAUUAACUAUUUCAAGGCAAUGUUUGAUCGCUUCUGACCAUUUCUUUUGGCUUAAGUUGUCUUAGGGCACUGGAAUUUGGAAGUUUUGGCGCCAGAGUUUAAUCUUCUCUAGUGCGUAUAACACUGUCCGAAGUUUCCUUGCCACCGGCCAUAAUGCAAAUCCUUUUUAAAGUAAAUCCAGCCAACAAUUUUGCAGCUGUUGUCUCUUCAGAACGGUUUCAGCAUUUAUGUUUAACCGAUAUGUUAUGUGUCAACCGAUAUCUUGUUUGAAAGUAUGUGUAUAACUAUUAUGGAUUUCCCUCUGUAAACAAACUUUUUAAUAAAUGAGAAUUUUUCCCCAAA